UGGGGAAUAUUGGACAAUGGGCGCAAGCCUGAUCCAGCAAUGCCGCGUGUGUGAAGAAGGCCUUCGGGUUGUAAAGCACUUUUAUCAGGAGCGAAACGCUGUCGGCUAAUACCCGGCGGAACUGACGGUACCUGAGGAAUAAGCACCGGCUAACUUCGUGCCAGCAGCCGCGGUAAUACGAAGGGUGCAAGCGUUAAUCGGAAUUACUGGGCGUAAAGCGUGCGUAGGCGGUUUCUUAAGUCUGCUGUGAAAUCCCCGGGCUCAACCUGGGAAUGGCAGUGGAUACUGGGAGGCUAGAGUGUGUCAGAGGGUGGUGGAAUUCCCGGUGUAGCGGUGAAAUGCGUAGAGAUCGGGAGGAACAUCAGUGGCGAAGGCGGCCACCUGGGACAACACUGACGCUGAGGCACGAAAGCGUGGGGGAGCAAACAGGAUUAGAUACCCUGGUAGUCCACGCCCUAAAGCGAUGCGAACUGGAUGUUGGUCUCAACUCGGAGAUCAGUGUCGAAGCUAACGCGUUAAGUUCGCCGCCUGGGGAGUACGGUCGCAAGACUGAAACUCAAAGGAAUUGACGGGGUCAUAGCUGUUUCCUG
rnacentral:rRNA from 1 species